UACGAAGGGGGCUAGCGUUGUUCGGAUUUACUGGGCGUAAAGCGCACGUAGGCGGAUCGUUAAGUCGGGGGUGAAAUCCUGGAGCUCAACUCCAGAACUGCCUUCGAUACUGGCGAUCUUGAGUCCGGAAGAGGUGAGUGGAACUCCUAGUGUAGAGGUGGAAUUCGUAGAUAUUAGGAAGAACACCAGUGGCGAAGGCGGCUCACUGGUCCGGUACUGACGCUGAGGUGACGAAGGCGUGGGGAGCAAACAGG
rnacentral:rRNA from 1 species